rnacentral:rRNA from 1 species
CCUACGGGUGGCAGCAGUGAGGAAUAUUGGUCAAUGGGCGUAAGCCUGAACCAGCCAAGUCGCGUGAGGGAUGAAGGUUCUAUGGAUCGUAAACCUCUUUUAUAAGGGAAUAAAGUGUGGGACGUGUCCUGUUUUGUAUGUACCUUAUGAAUAAGCAUCGGCUAACUCCGUGCCAGCAGCCGUGGUAAUACGGAGGAUGCGAGCGUUAUCCGGAUUUAUUGGGUUUAAAGGGUGCGUAGGCGGACUGGAAAGUCAGCGGUAAAAUCGAGAGGCUCAACCUCGUGCCGCCGUUGAAACUGUAGGGCUUGAGUGGGCGAGAAGUAUGCGGAAUGCGUGGGGUAGCGGUGAAAUGCAUAGAUAUCACGCAGAACUCCGAUUGCGAAGGCAGCAUACCGGCGCCCGACUGACGCUGAGGCACGAAAGCGUGGGGAUCGAACAGGAUUAGAUACCCUUGUAGUC